rnacentral:rRNA from 1 species
AACGAACGCUGGCGGCAGGCUUAACACAUGCAAGUCGAGCGCCCCGCAAGGGGAGCGGCAGACGGGUGAUUAACGCGUGGGAACGUGCCCUUUGGUUCGGAACAGCUCCGGGAAACUGGAGCUAAUACCGGAUAAGCCCUUCGGGGGAAAGAUUUAUCGCCAAAGGAUCGGCCCGCGUCUGAUUAGCUAGUUGGUGGGGUAAUGGCCCACCAAGGCGACGAUCAGUAGCUGGUCUGAGAGGAUGAUCAGCCACACUGGGACUGAGACACGGCCCAGACUCCUACGGGAGGCAGCAGUGGGGAAUAUUGGACAAUGGGCGCAAGCCUGAUCCAGCCAUGCCGCGUGAGUGAUGAAGGCCUUAGGGUUGUAAAGCUCUUUUGUCCGGGAAGAUAAUGACUGUACCGGAAGAAUAAGCCCCGGCUAACUUCGUGCCAGCCGCCGCCGUAACAC